AGUCACUGACAUUAGAUACCCGGGUAGUCCAGGGUGUAAACGCUGCAGACUUGGUGUUGGAAGUCCUUUGGGGCAUUCAGUGCCGGAGAGAAGUUGUUAAGUCUGCUACUUGGGAGUACGUCCGCAAGGAUGAAACUUAAAGGAAUUGGCGGGGAGCACCGCAACGGGUGGAGCCUGCGGUUUAAUUGGACUCAACGCCGGAAAUCUCACCGGAUAGGACAGACAUAUGAUAGUCGGGCUGAAGACUCUACUUGAUGAUCUG
rnacentral:rRNA from 1 species